AGGAACAACAUGAUUAGACAUCUGAUCAACACUGCUAUAUUGUUGCUGUUUUUAACAGGCUUCUCUGUGAACUCUGCUAUCAAACAGACCCCUUCUGACCUGCUGUCCAAAAACAAUGUAGAAUCAGUGACUCUUCACUGUUCUCACACAAAUCCAAGCUUCAAUGUCAUCCUCUGGUACAAGCAGCCUCUAAGCGGAGAAAUGCAGCUCAUGGGGUAUCUAUACAGGACAAAUAAUAACUCUGAGCCAGUUUUUAAUGAGAAAAUUGAGAUAUUGGGGAAUGGAGCAAGUAAAAGCCAUUUGAUACUGAAAAAACUUUCCUCAGAUGACAAUGCAAUCUAUUACUGCGCUGCAAGAGAACACAGUGCUGUGGGUUUCCUGCACUUCUGCACAAAAACGUUAUCAUGAAAUCCUAUACAUUACAUCACAGUGUCACUCUUUCUUUAUGUUAAGAAGGUAGUUAUGUUUGUGACAUGCCAAAUGUAAAUACUUAUGGGCUACCGCUGCUAGUUGUCACACUUUAUUACUCCAGUGAAUGUUUCUCAGUGCUCAUUUCUGUAUAGGCUUAUACUUUGGAAGGCAGCUUCAAUGUACUGUAUGUUAAACUAUAAAACAUGUCCACCAGAAAUGUAACAUAUGUAAAACCUACACCUGUUGUUAGAAAACAGUUCAGGCUAAA